GCAUCUCAUCUUCCUCCACGAACGCAUCUCAUCGAUCUAUCAAGAACCUACCUGUAUGUCUUCCACCUCUGACCCAAUCUCCAGAACAGUCUACCGCAGUCCUCUCCUCUUCAUCUCCCCCGCGAUUCCUGCAAGAAACAAUUGCUUAGGUAACUGAUGGAGGAAUCCGAGGAGCCCGUCUCAGGCUAUAUAUUUCACAUCGCUGCAUCUUCUCUUCCAAUCUGGCACAACGCUCAUACUUCCCCUCCCCUUGGUUCUACAGAUGUUGGCGCCGACGAAAUAAUCUUUAUACUACCUGGGUGUCUACUCUUCUUUCAUGUCUCAUCCUGCUGCUGUGUGGUAACGUAAAUUCCUAGGUUCAGGGCAAAUACUGUGAUGCAGAAGAUAUGACGGUUUUCGAUCGACUAAUUAGCAGCUUCACGACCUACAACAAGAACCGAGUGUUACUUUGAUUGAUAAUACCCAUCACCCUAGAUCUGCAUCUAUUGUAACUGAGAAACAUCACGAACUAUAUGUAUGUUAUCGACUGUGUCUACAUGUACCUGCACGGACAUUAUUAUUAAUAAAUGCAGCUUUCAGUUCUUUUUGCACCA